rnacentral:rRNA from 1 species
CACGUAGGGGGCAAGCGUUGUCCGGAUUUAUUGGGCGUAAAGAGCUCGUAGGCGGCUUAGUAAGUCGGGUGUGAAACCUCCAGGCUCAACCUGGAGACGCCACCCGAUACUGCUAUAGCUAGAGUCCGGUAGGGGAGCGUGGAAUUCCUGGUGUAGCGGUGAAAUGCGCAGAUAUCAGGAGGAACACCGGUGGCGAAGGCGGUUCUCUGGGCAUUACCUGACGCUGAGGAGCGAAAGUGUGGGGAGCGAACAGG